GCAAGUCGAGCGAGAAAGCACUUCGGUGGGAGUAUAGCGGCGGACGGGUGAGUAACGCGUAGGAAUCUACCUAGUAGUGGGGGAAAACAUGUGGAAACGCAUGCUAAUACCGCAUACGCCCUACGGGGGAAAGCGGGGGAUCUUCGGACCUCGUGCUAUUAGAUGAGCCUGCGUAAGAUUAGCUAGUUGGUGAGGUAAAGGCUCACCAAGGCGACGAUCCAUAGCUGGUCUGAGAGGAUGAGC
rnacentral:rRNA from 1 species